rnacentral:tRNA from 1 species
GGAGGCGUCGCAUAGUGGCCUAGUGCGCUCGCUUGGAAAGCGAGUAGACCUUAACCGGUCUCGGAGGUUCGAAUCCUCCCGCCUCCG